AGCCCAGUGGUCUAGUGGAUAGGAUACUUGCUUGCGGAGCAAGGGAUCGGGGGUUCAAGUCCCCCCUGGGCUA
rnacentral:tRNA from 1 species